rnacentral:rRNA from 1 species
AUUGAACGCUGGCGGCAGGCCUAACACAUGCAAGUCGAACGAGUGGCGGACGGGUGAGUAAUGUCUGGGAAACUGCCCGAUGGAGGGGGAUAACUACUGGAAACGGUAGCUAAUACCGCAUACCAUCGGAUGUGCCCAGAUGGGAUUAGCUAGUAGGUUGGGUAACGGCUCACCUAGGCGACGAUCCCUAGCUGGUCUGAGAGGAUGACCAGCCACAAUUGGACUGAGACAAGGUCCAGACCCCUAAGGGAGGCAGCAGGGGGGAAUAUUGCAAAAAGGGGGGAAGCCUGAUGCAGCCAUGCCGGGUGUAUGAAGAAGGGCUUCGGGUUGUAAAGUACUUUCAGCGAGGAGGCGUUACUCGCAGAAGAAGCACCGGCUAACUCCGUGCCAGCAGCCGCGGUAAUUC